GUGUGUGUUCAGGACGGUGUUCUGCAGCGCAGCGGCUCUAUGGGGCGUCUCAGAGAUGCAGGAGCAGUGAGAAGCUGGUGAAGAAGCUCCAGGGAAACGCUCCUCCAGACACACACAAAAUGAAACGUGCCGCUUCACUCCGCUUCCUGAACAAGACGGCUGACGAGUCCUUCCAGAAUCUGGGCGGCCGGCGGCUGAGAGACAGUCGAGGUUUGAGCUCCAGUAAUGUGGAUCUGUACAGCAGCAGUUAAACCACUGCGCUCGUCACACACACACACACACACACUCACACACUCACACACACACACUCACACUCACACGC